UACCAGCAGCCCCGAGUGGUCGGGACGAUUAUUGGGCCUAAAGCAUCCGUAGCCGGUCCUACAAGUCUUCCGUUAAAUCCACCUGCUUAACAGAUGGGCUGCGGAAGAUACUAUAGGGCUAGGAGGCGGGAGAGGCAAGCGGUACUCAGUGGGUAGGGGUAAAAUCCUCUGAUCCAUUGAAGACCACCAGUGGCGAAGGCGGCUUGCCAGAACGCGCUCGACGGUGAGGGAUGAAAGCUGGGGGAGCAAACCGG
rnacentral:rRNA from 1 species